rnacentral:rRNA from 1 species
GAUGAACGCUGGCGGCGUGCCUAAUACAUGCAAGUCGAGCGAACGGACGAGAAGCUUGCUUCUCUGAUGUUAGCGGCGGACGGGUGAGUAACACGUGGAUAACCUACCUAUAAGACUGGGAUAACUUCGGGAAACCGGAGCUAAUACCGGAUAAUAUUUUGAACCGCAUGGUUCAAAAGUGAAAGACGGUCUUGCUGUCACUUAUAGAUGGAUCCGCGCUGCAUUAGCUAGUUGGUAAGGUAACGGCUUACCAAGGCAACGAUGCAUAGCCGACCUGAGAGGGGGAUAGGCCACACUGGAACUGAGACACGGUCCAGAGUCCUACGGGAGGCAGCAGUAGGGAAUGUUCCGCAAUGGGCGAAAGCGUGACGGAGCAACGCCGCGUGAGUGAUGAAGGUCUUCGGAUCGUAAAACUCUGUUAUUAGGGAAGAACAGAUGUGUAAGUAACUGUGCACAUCUUGACGGUACCUAAUCAGAAAGCCACGGCUAACUACGUG